rnacentral:rRNA from 1 species
UACACAUGCAAGUCGAACGGCAGCACGGGAGCAAUCCUGGUGGCGAGUGGCGAACGGGUGAGUAAUACAUCGGAACGUGCCCUGUCGUGGGGGAUAACUAGUCGAAAGAUUAGCUAAUACCGCAUACGACCUGAGGGUGAAAGCGGGGGACCGUAAGGCCUCGCGCGAUAGGAGCGGCCGAUGUCUGAUUAGCUAGUUGGUGGGGUAAAGGCCCACCAAGGCGACGAUCAGUAGCUGGUCUGAGAGGACGAUCAGCCACACUGGGACUGAGACACGGCCCAGACUCCUACGGGAGGCAGCAGUGGGGAAUUUUGGACAAUGGGGGCAACCCUGAUCCAGCAAUGCCGCGUGUGUGAAGAAGGCCUUCGGGUUGUAAAGCACUUUUGUCCGGAAAGAAAUCCCUUGCCCUAAUACGGCGGGGGGAUGACGGUACCGGAAGAAUAAGCACCGGCUAACUACGUGCCAGCAGCCGCGGUAAUACGUAGGGUGCGAGCGUUAAUCGGAAUUACUGGGCGUAAAGCGUGCGCAGGCGGUUUUGUAAGACAGGCGUGAAAUCCCCGAGCUCAACUUGGGAAUGGCGCUUGUGACUGCAAGGCUAGAGUAUGUCAGAGGGGGGUAGAAUUCC